rnacentral:rRNA from 1 species
UACGGAGGGUGCAAGCGUUAUCCGGAUUCACUGGGUUUAAAGGGUGUGUAGGCGGGUAUUUAAGUCAGUGGUGAAAUCUCUGAGCUCAACUCAGAAACUGCCAUUGAUACUAUUUAUCUUGAAUGUCGUUGAGGUUGGCGGAAUAUAUCAUGUAGCGGUGAAAUGCAUAGAUAUGAUAUAGAACACCGAUUGCGAAGGCAGCUAACUAAGCGA